GAAGGAGUCGAAUUUCUGACAAGCUAUGGACAGCUUGUUCUCCUUUAUUUUCUCGGAUCCGAUGCACAUUCUUUCAAGAAUGUCCCACAUCUCCUUUGCAGUUUUGCACUUGAUGAUCUUGGUGACAUGCUUGUCUGGAACUGUGCCGGAGAUGAUACUUUUGGCGAGGUUAUCUAGCUCAUCUUGCUUCCUUUCUUCUGUGGUGAAGUUUGUCUUCUGCUUGAUCUGGAC
rnacentral:lncRNA from 1 species